GCAUCAUCUCCUGCGUCAGCUCAGCACGGCACGCCUCGGGGAACAACUUCCUGCGAGCAGAACAACACGACGGCUCAGAUUUCUACCCACCGAUCAUAAUCAAAGAUGGGCGGGGCUUUUAUACUGGAGCUGCAGAGCAAGACGACGUGAAACUUCAGAAAUGACGUGGGAUUUACACUAGUUGACCAAUCACAAAACUCAUCUGUAAUAUCUCAUUCCAACCAGUAAAUGGAAGCACACAGACGGUUUUAGACUAUUAUUUCAGGUUUAUUUUAAAUCGUCAAAAAUGUGGCAAGGACCAACAGACAGCACUUUGAAAUCCCCAAAAGUUGAUUUAGUUUGGCUACUCAUUAAAUCACAAAUGAAACUCGUCUGUUGAAUAAAUUCAAACUCCACAGGUAUUUUAAGAAGCAUUUUGUAGUUUAUUAGCAUUUUAUAGCAUUUAUGAUUAAAAAUGUGUAAUCAUAGCUUUAUUUGACCAGUUACUUUCAAGUUUAAUACAGUUUAAAUGCUAAAUGCAAAUAUCUCAGUAGAAUUUGGAAAAAAUAUAUUUAUUAGUUCUGUUUACCAUAUUUUUCACAAAAAGUGAAUUUUUUUUGGAAUGGAUUUUUGAAUAUUAAAGUUGUCAUUUGUUCACUUAUUUUUCUAACACUUUGUAUUAGACAGUUGUUAGAUUAUGCAUUUAUACAAUGGACUAAAAUAAAAAAAUAAAACCAUAGAAUUUUUUUUAUUUUUUUCACAAAUGAAUUAUCCUAAUAAGUGAUGUAGAAAGUGACAGAAUAAGCAACUUUUUUAAUGUUUCAUUCUUUUUAUCGUUUGAAAAAAAAAGUAUAUGCAGGUUUUAUAUAAACUGCAAAAAGGCUACCUUUUUCCCUAUAAUUAUUGCUGCUUUUUCAGCACAUGAACUCCUCUUUUUAAGUAUAUAUGGUUUGAUGGCACCAAGCUCUGUUCUUGGAUGAUUUUCCACUGAAUCUGUGGGAUUGGCACAAACAGACUCUCCGGCUGUUGGCCGCCUGUCUUUUCACAGUAUGUAACAGCCACAUUAUCCUAGUGAGAGGGAACUGAACUGUACAACGUGUGUGGUAACAAACUAACAACGACACACAUCUGCGGUGAUAGUCAUAAGAACUCAUUUCUUUUUUUUAUUUCAUUUAUUUAUUUUUUUGGUGCUUUGUUUUCCUCCCAAGAUUAGCAUAGUAUUUUUAUGUAGUAUAAGAAAGGAAAUCUGUGUUUUGAAAAAAA